GAUUAAGUUAUUAAGGGCGCACGGUGGAUGCCUUGGCACUAGAAGCCGAUGAAGGACGUUACUAACGACGAUAUGCUUUGGGGAGCUGUAAGUAAGCUUUGAUCCAGAGAUUUCCGAAUGGGGAAACCCAGCAUGAGUUAUGUCAUGUUAUCGAUAUGUGAAUACAUAGCAUAUCAGAAGGCACACCCGGAGAACUGAAACAUCUUAGUACCCGGAGGAAGAGAAAGAAAAUUCGAUUCCCUUAGUAGCGGCGAGCGAAACGGGAAGAGCCCAAACCAACAAGCUUGCUUGUUGGGGUUGUAGGACACUCUAUACGGAGUUACAAAGGACGACAUUAGACGAAUCAUCUGGAAAGAUGAAUCAAAGAAGGUAAUAAUCCUGUAGUCGAAAAUGUUGUCUCUCUUGAGUGGAUCCUGAGUACGACGGAGCACGUGAAAUUCCGUCGGAAUCUGGGAGGACCAUCUCCUAAGGCUAAAUACUCUCUAGUGACCGAUAGUGAACCAGUACCGUGAGGGAAAGGUGAAAAGCACCCCGGAAGGGGAGUGAAAUAGAACCUGAAACCGUGUGCUUACAAGUAGUCAGAGCCCGUUAAUGGGUGAUGGCGUGCCUUUUGUAGAAUGAACCGGCGAGUUACGAUUUGAUGCAAGGUUAAGCAGUAAAUGUGGAGCCGUAGCGAAAGCGAGUCUGAAUAGGGCGUUUAGUAUUUGGUCGUAGACCCGAAACCAGGUGAUCUACCCUUGGUCAGGUUGAAGUUCAGGUAACACUGAAUGGAGGACCGAACCGACUUACGUUGAAAAGUGAGCGGAUGAACUGAGGGUAGCGGAGAAAUUCCAAUCGAACCUGGAGAUAGCUGGUUCUCUCCGAAAUAGCUUUAGGGCUAGCCUCAAGUGAUGAUUAUUGGAGGUAGAGCACUGUUUGGACGAGGGGCCCCUCUCGGGUUACCGAAUUCAGACAAACUCCGAAUGCCAAUUAAUUUAACUUGGGAGUCAGAACAUGGGUGAUAAGGUCCGUGUUCGAAAGGGAAACAGCCCAGACCACCAGCUAAGGUCCCAAAAUAUAUGUUAAGUGGAAAAGGAUGUGGCGUUGCCCAGACAACUAGGAUGUUGGCUUAGAAGCAGCCAUCAUUUAAAGAGUGCGUAAUAGCUCACUAGUCGAGUGACACUGCGCCGAAAAUGUACCGGGGCUAAACAUAUUACCGAAGCUGUGGAUUGUCCUUUGGACAAUGGUAGGAGAGCGUUCUAAGGGCGUUGAAGCAUGAUCGUAAGGACAUGUGGAGCGCUUAGAAGUGAGAAUGCCGGUGUGAGUAGCGAAAGACGGGUGAGAAUCCCGUCCACCGAUUGACUAAGGUUUCCAGAGGAAGGCUCGUCCGCUCUGGGUUAGUCGGGUCCUAAGCUGAGGCCGACAGGCGUAGGCGAUGGAUAACAGGUUGAUAUUCCUGUACCACCUAUAAUCGUUUUAAUCGAUGGGGGGGACGCAGUAGGAUAGGCGAAGCGUGCGAUUGGAUUGCACGUCUAAGCAGUAAGGCUGAGUAUUAGGCAAAUCCGGUACUCGUUAAGGCUGAGCUGUGAUGGGGAGAAGACAUUGUGUCUUCGAGUCGUUGAUUUCACACUGCCGAGAAAAGCCUCUAGAUAGAAAAUAGGUGCCCGUACCGCAAACCGACACAGGUAGUCAAGAUGAGAAUUCUAAGGUGAGCGAGCGAACUCUCGUUAAGGAACUCGGCAAAAUGACCCCGUAACUUCGGGAGAAGGGGUGCUCUUUAGGGUUAACGCCCAGAAGAGCCGCAGUGAAUAGGCCCAAGCGACUGUUUAUCAAAAACACAGGUCUCUGCUAAACCGUAAGGUGAUGUAUAGGGGCUGACGCCUGCCCGGUGCUGGAAGGUUAAGAGGAGUGGUUAGCUUCUGCGAAGCUACGAAUCGAAGCCCCAGUAAACGGCGGCCGUAACUAUAACGGUCCUAAGGUAGCGAAAUUCCUUGUCGGGUAAGUUCCGACCCGCACGAAAGGCGUAACGAUUUGGGCACUGUCUCAACGAGAGACUCGGUGAAAUCAUAGUACCUGUGAAGAUGCAGGUUACCCGCGACAGGACGGAAAGACCCCGUGGAGCUUUACUGUAGCCUGAUAUUGAAAUUCGGCACAGCUUGUACAGGAUAGGUAGGAGCCUUUGAAACGUGAGCGCUAGCUUACGUGGAGGCGCUGGUGGGAUACUACCCUAGCUGUGUUGGCUUUCUAACCCGCACCACUUAUCGUGGUGGGAGACAGUGUCAGGCGGGCAGUUUGACUGGGGCGGUCGCCUCCUAAAAGGUAACGGAGGCGCUCAAAGGUUCCCUCAGAAUGGUUGGAAAUCAUUCAUAGAGUGUAAAGGCAUAAGGGAGCUUGACUGCGAGACCUACAAGUCGAGCAGGGUCGAAAGACGGACUUAGUGAUCCGGUGGUUCCGCAUGGAAGGGCCAUCGCUCAACGGAUAAAAGCUACCCCGGGGAUAACAGGCUUAUCUCCCCCAAGAGUUCACAUCGACGGGGAGGUUUGGCACCUCGAUGUCGGCUCAUCGCAUCCUGGGGCUGUAGUCGGUCCCAAGGGUUGGGCUGUUCGCCCAUUAAAGCGGUACGCGAGCUGGGUUCAGAACGUCGUGAGACAGUUCGGUCCCUAUCCGUCGUGGGCGUAGGAAAUUUGAGAGGAGCUGUCCUUAGUACGAGAGGACCGGGAUGGACAUACCUCUGGUGUACCAGUUGUCGUGCCAACGGCAUAGCUGGGUAGCUAUGUGUGGACGGGAUAAGUGCUGAAAGCAUCUAAGCAUGAAGCCCCCCUCAAGAUGAGAUUUCCCAACUUCGGUUAUAAGAUC
rnacentral:rRNA from 1 species